rnacentral:tRNA from 1 species
GGGCAGUUAGCUCAGCUGGUUAAAGUGUGGUGCUGAUAAUGCCAAGGUCGUGGGUUCAAACCCCAUAUGGGCCA